rnacentral:rRNA from 1 species
CCUACGGGUGGCAGCAGUAGGGAAUCUUCCACAAUGGACGAAAGUCUGAUGGCGCAACGCCGCGUGAGUGAUGAAGGUUUUCGGAUCGUAAAACUCUGUUGUAAGGGAAGAACAAGUACGAGAGGUAAUGCUCGUACCUUGACGGUACCUUGCGAGGAAGCCACGGCUAACUACUUGCCAGCAGCCGCGGUAAUACGUAGGUGGCAAGCGUUGUCCGGAAUUAUUGGGCGUAAAGCGCGCGCAGGCGGCCUUUGAAGUCGGAUGUGAAAGCCACCGGCUCAACCGGGGAGGGUCAGUGGAAACUGGAAGGCUUGAGUACAGAAGAAUAGCGUGGAAAUCCAUGUGUAUCGGUGAAAUGCGUAGAGAUGUGGAGGAACACCAGUGGCGAAGGCGACUCUUUGAUCUGUAACUGACGCUGAGGCGCGAAAGCGUGGGGAGCAAACAGGAUUAGAUACCCUGGUAGUC